rnacentral:lncRNA from 1 species
GAAAUUUGGCCGCCUCUCACCCAUUUCUCUUCUCCUUCGUCCUCUUCUAAAACCUCACUGCUGUAUCUCUUUUCCUCCUUGUAUCUCACUCACAUACAGACACAAGUUAAAGCUGCUUAUCGAAGCAUUCUCCUGCGAUUGGAAUUUAUAUAUUCCGUAGGUAACGAGUUUACAACUCUGACAACUGUUGUAUACGCGCAUAGGUGUUGUUUUAUGUUAAUAUCUCUGGCCUUUUUUGUUUGGUUUGUCGGGGAAAAGGAGAAAAGGAAGUGAAAUGAAAAGGUUUGAAUCUGUUUUAAGUUUGUUUAGUUUGCUUUUGAUAGAAAUGAGGAACGGCAAUUUGAGCUUGGCUUGUUACCGUUGUUGGCUUAGUGGAAUUUGUUUGUCAUUUCUUUGUUCAAGUUUUUGCGUUUUGUAUUGGAUUGAAAUGAUUGAAAAUUUGAGUUUGUAAUUUGUCGAUACACGUCAUUUAUCCUUGUGAGGUAAAACAUGGAGGCUUUUGAUAUCUUUGUGUUUCAAUUUGGACAACCGUUGACAUGUUCUGAAAAUGAGCAGGCUUGUCUUCCAUUUUCACGUUAUAUAAAACGGCAAGUGCGUACCAUUUGUUUUAACUAAGUCCACAUUGCCGGUUUUUGCAAAUUUGCCAAUUGUUUGAGUUCUUGUCCAAUAGUUUUCCAUUUUGAAAAUAGCGUUUUCAGGUAGUUCUGGUUCAAUUUU